rnacentral:piRNA from 1 species
UACUUGGACCAAAUUUUCAAC